rnacentral:rRNA from 1 species
GGCGGCUGCUUACACAUGCAGUCGAACGGUAACGCGGGGGCAACCCUGGCGACGAGUGGCGAACGGGUGAGUAAUACAUCGGAACAUUUCCAGUAGCGGGGGAUAACCUGUCGAAAGAUAGGCUAAUACCGCAUACGACCUACGGGUGAAAGCGGAGGACUCUCGGGCAACUGAGGGCUUCGCACUAUUGGAGUGGCCGAUGUCGGAUUAGCUAGUUGGCGGGGUAAAAGCCCACCAAGGCUACGAUCCGUAGCUGGUCUGAAGGACGAUCAGCCACACUGGAACUGAGACACGGUCCAGACUCCUACGGGAGGCAGCAGUGGGGAAUUUUGGACAAUGGGCGCAAGCCUGAUCCAGCCAUGCCGCGUGAGUGAAGAAGGCCUUCGGGUUGUAAAGCUCUUUCGGUGGGGACGAAAAGGUUCGCGCUAAUACCGCGAACUAAUGACGGUACCCGAAGAAGAAGCACCGGCUAACUACGUGCCAGCAGCCGCGGUAAUACGUAGGGUGCAGGCGUUAAUCGGAAUUACUGGGCCGUAAAGCGUGCGCAGGGCGGUUGUUAAGACAGAUGUGGAAUCCCCGGGCUUAACCUGGGGAACUGGGGUUUGGUAACUUGGGCAAGGCUAGAGUGUGGGCAAGGGGGGGUGGGAAAUUCCCAAGGUGGUAGCAGUGGAA